GCCUGGCCCUUCCCCCGGCCUGCGCGCUCCGCCGCCCACCCCCACUGCGGAAGGCUGGCUGACCCGCAGCGGCGCCGCCGCCGCCGCCGCCGAGGCCCGGCCCUCUCCGCUCCCCGCUCGGCGCGCACGGGGCCCGGGCCGCCCUGCCUUCCGGCCCCCGUGCAGGAGGAAGCGGCGGCAGCGCGCCCGCUCCUCCCUCACCGUCUCCGCCGCCGGCGGCCCCCCGAGCGGUCGCCAGCCGGGCCUGGCCCAGCAGCCGCUGAUGGCGCCCGGCGGGGGAGACGGGCCUGGACGGGACUCCGCCGGAGGCGCCUCCGCACACACGGGGAGGGCGAGGAAGCGGUGGGCGCCGCGCUGCCGCCCCUCUCCUCCAUGAACGGCGCGGCAGGGCCUCGCCGGCGCUGCCCUGCCGAGAUCCCCGACUCGCCCGCCCCGACGGCCACAGCGGGGCCGCCAGCUGCUCCGGCCCCUGGACCGGGAUAAAAUGGCCGCAGCAGGGCUGCGCCCGGCGGUGCCGCGGGCGCUCCCGCCUCGGUCGGCUCGGAGGCAGCAGCUUCUGGGAGUUUUUUUAAUUUUACAGGUUUGCACAAGAAAGAGGUGAAAAGCAGCAAAGAAGAGCUCAGACAGAGCUGGCCUGCAAGACGACACAAGAGAUGUCAGGCUGCUCCCCAAACGCUACGUCACACCGCCAGAGCUAACAAGCAAUUAGAAAGCAUUCCAAAAGCUAGAACAGUGCUGGCAAACCUACAUAUCUCAAUCUUCAAAAUCUCUUCAGAAAAAAAAGACUUUUUCUGAAAGAAGGAUCACAAAAUAUUGUUGUUUCAUUAGUAAUAAAAUUAAUGGGAAACAAUUAGGUAAAAUUGGUGCAAGCUACAACACAGAAACUAGAAGACCAUAUGUUUAAUAGAAACCUAACACUAACACCUAAACAAAUGCAACCAGAAAAAAGGAAAUUUAGAACCUAAUUUUAAAAAAAAUACCCUAUUUUGUCUCAGAAGAGCAUUGUGUAGUUACGGUUUACUGUGGAGUUUGAAGCAUUAACCCACAAAACCAAGUUCCUAUUGACAACUGAGACCAGACUGGUUCAGGUCUACCAAAUUCUUCACAAUUUUUUAAAAACUAAGGAUUAUGAGUUAUGAUUAUGAGUUACUUGAAUAAAUGUUUGGUAGACUAUUGUGGUUUUGUUGAUCAAGUCAAGGCAUCAAGAACAGCUUAAUAGUCUUAUUUUUAGUGAACUGAGGCACAGUAAAUUAAAAUACCUUUUAAAGUAGAAAUAAGGGAAGAAGUUAUCAGUGUUCAUCUCUAUGCAUGGUUGAUUUUAGACUUUUUGAUGGAUAAUUUAAGAUCUUUUUUUAUGGAAAAGAGCUGCCCCAGAAUUAUACCUCAUUGCAGCGUUCCUUUUUUUGCAUUUAUUUUGAAGCUCUUGAAGGAGGCAAGAUAUUAAUAUGCAGUUAAAUCUCUUGUUCAUUUGUUUUUGAUUAAGCUUUUAUUAGUAAUCUAUUCUCAGCCUUGGAGUGUGGGGUUUUUUUUUCAUUUGAGAAGUAUUUGUAAGGGAAUGCAACGCUGAUGGCACUCAAGUCUCACAAAAUCUUUUCAGCAUCCUCUUAGCUUCACUUAGAACCAGACGAUUUUCUGUAUGUAUAAGUACCUGGGUGAUCAAUGAGAGAAAAUUAGCAUUUCCCUUCCUGCUGGGGGAAAUCAUACAGAAUUUACUGUUUUCCUUCUCUUCUCAGCCAAAAUGUUAAUUGUGUUCACAGAGUAAGAGCCCAGGGAUGAAAUGCAUCAGAUCAUUAUUUCCUCUGCUAGAAGUUGACUAGUCCCGCUACGGGUAGUUGACAAUCACAGGUCACAAACUAAGAUCCUGAAUUUACAAACGCUUGCAGGUGCACAGCUCUGCUGGCACAGCACUGCAUAGAGCGAAAAGCUGGUUACAUCAUUAGGCAAUGAUGAUCAAAAAUUUUUGUUUCACCUUAGAAAUCUAAUUUUUCCUUCUCUUCCCACAAUGAAAAAAUUGUUAUUAAUGAAUGUGGCUUAGGUGAUUCAGUAUUGAAAUGAUGGAAAAAAUACAUCUUUUUUCUUUGUAUUUCUGACUGUCUCCAAUUACUUCUUGUUAGCCAAAUGGGGGUGGCUACUCCACAGAAACACUAUUUCCUUACUUAAGGAAUAAAAUGGAAUUGGGGUUGCAGUUCUGCAGCUUCUGUAGCUCUGGUAGUGUACAUAUUACUUAAUUUUCCUUACUGCUACAGAAAUUGCAUAUAGGUUUAAAGGAAUUUAUAGGCCCCUUGAAUAAUUUUUGUGUUAUUUACAACCCAUGAACCCAUCUUACAGACUAUAAAUCAAUGCUUUUGAACAGUUCCACCUUUCAGAAAAUAAUGGUUAUGGGCUGAAUUAUUUUUCACCAUUUUAAACUGUUGAUCUUAGAACUGUUUCUUGAAUGUAUUAAUGAUGUACAAUAUGUGUCCUUUGUUAAAAAAAAAACCCACAGUUUUUUUGCUGUCCUCAUGACCUGAUGCCUGUUUUUUCUCUGCAUUUUUAAAGCAAAAUCAGAUUUAUUUCUUGUGCUUGCUAUAUCUUGUUCUUGCUAUUAAAGAUAGUGCUUUAAUUUUAGGGGUUUUUUACCUGAUAAAAGUUCCAGGAGAGCUCACAUACUGUAGUUAACUCUUCAGAAAUGUUCCCAAAUAGAUGAGUACCAUUCAUCUAUGUGCUAGGAUAUAUCAGGAUGUGGAGAAGUUUUUUGGUAAAUUUUGGCAUCAAAGAUAGCUUGUCAAGUAGGUAGAAAAUAACUACAGACUGCUUAAGAUCAUCGGGACUUCAUCUAAAAUGUUUCUUUAAUUCCUUCCUUGAAGGAGACCUGCUUUUAAAAUCUGAUCAGCCUACCUCAAAAUGUGAUAUUGUGUUGUUGGAGAAUAACCGUAAUAAAUAUCUAUUAGAUUUCCUGCUGCUGUCAUAAACAUUUUGAAAAUAAAAAUCGCAUUCUUCAUU